CCUGUACUUCCCUAUUCAAAAUAUCCAUUGCAUAUUAUUCAGUCCUCUGUUAAUUCAUUUCAAAGAUCUAAUGUUUGUUGAGCAUGUACUCUGUGACAACAAAAAUACAGUAGAGGUUAGCUUCUAUAUUCUAUACAGAUAAUUCAGUAUAACAAGUGACAGUAAAGACUGCAAGCCCAAAGCCAGGUUUCUACUUACACUAGGCAUCAUACAUGAGUCUCUUCUUAGAAGGAGGGAGGAAGGAAGGAACUGGCUCUUCCUGGAAACUGCGUUCUUCAACUGUAGGCCUCACUUUGCCUGGGUAAUACAUGUUACCAAGGAAGCAUCUCUUCACUAGUCACUUCUGCCUGUGACUGUCAGAGGGAUUCAUCAGUGAGCCAGAGAGAAGAAGACCCUGUCCUGGGGCUUCUGCAGGAUGCCUUUCCCUUCCAGACAGUAAGCAUAAUGGGGGACUGGGCUCUGCUUUUAGUCAAUGCACCCCAUACAGAGCCUGGCACACAGUGGGGCCAUAAUAAUUCUCCCCUGCUUUCUAGUCUGC
rnacentral:lncRNA from 1 species